GGGGCCGUGGUGCAGUUGGGAGCACGUUUGCGUGGCACGCAAGAGGUCGAGGGUUCAAAUCCCUCCGGCUCCA
rnacentral:tRNA from 1 species